GACGAACGCUGGCGGCGUGCUUAACACAUGCAAGUCGUACGGUAAGGCCCUUUCUGGGGUACACGAGUGGCGGACGGGUGAGUAACACGUGCGUAAGCUGCCCACCACUUUGGGAUAACGCUAGGAAGCUAGUGCUAAUACUAGAGAUGUGCUUCUGCUGCAUGGUGGGGGUUGGAAAGCUCCGGCGGUUGUGGAUGUACUCGCGGGCUAUCAGCGUGUUGUUGGGGGAGUGGCCUACCACGGCGGCGGCGGGUAGCCGGCCUGAGAGGGUGACCGGCCACAUUGGGACUGAGGUACGGCCCAGACUCCUACGGGUGGCAGCAGUGGGGAAGAUUGCACAAUGGGCGCAAGCCUGAUGCAGCAGCGCCGCGGGCGGGAUGACGGCCUUCGGGUUGUAAACCGCUUUCAGCAGGGACGAAGCGUUUUGUGACGGUACCUGCAGAAGAAGCACCGGCUAACUACGUG
rnacentral:rRNA from 1 species